GACGAACGCUGGCGGCGUGCCUAACACAUGCAAGUCGAACGGGGCAAGAGGCUUCGGCCUUUUGCUUAGUGGCGAACGGGUGAGUAACGCGUGAGGAACCUGCCUCUCAGUGGGGGACAACAGUUGGAAACGACUGCUAAUACCGCAUAAUGUUUCUGGACCGCAUGAUCUGGAAACCAAAGCUUUAUGUGCUGAGAGAUGGUCUCGCGUCUGAUUAGCUAGAUGGCGGGGUAACGGCCCACCAUGGCGACGAUCAGUAGCCGGUCUGAGAGGAUGAACGGCCACAUUGGGACUGAGAUACGGCCCAGACUCCUACGGGAGGCAGCAGUGGGGAAUAUUGGGCAAUGGGGGAAACCCUGACCCAGCAACGCCGCGUGAAGGAAGAAGGCC
rnacentral:rRNA from 1 species